rnacentral:rRNA from 1 species
UACGUAGGUGGCAAGCGUUGUCCGGAUUUACUGGGCGUAAAGAGCGCGCAGGCGGUCGUUCAAGUCGCGUGUGAAAGCCCCCGGCUCAACUGGGGAGGGUCACGCGAUACUGAUCGACUCGAAGGCAGGAGAGGGAAGUGGAAUUCCCGGUGUAGUGGUGAAAUGCGUAGAUAUCGGGAGGAACACCAGUGGCGAAGGCGACUUCCUGGCCUGUUCUUGACGCUGAGGCGCGAAAGCCAGGGGGAGCAAACAGG